UGGGUCAGCUCCAGAAGGGCCUUGUCCAUCCUGUGCCCAGCAGACUCAUUGGCCGUGAGCCACUGGUGGAUGUACCUCACCAUGGCGGGCGCCUGCAGAGGGCACGGGGAGACUCGCAGAGCUGCCAGAGCAGCAACUUCCCCUGAGAAGUGCUUCCCUUCCAACCGCAUUGGACCGGGCCUCAAAGGCCGAAGGAGCCCAGCAGACCUGGCUGGAGGUGCCACACCCCUGCUGGGGCCAUCGAGCCCUUGCCCCAGGCUGCUUACUUGUGUUGGAUUGGAGACACCCUUCUCCACAAGCAAAUCCAGCAUGGCAGCACCGGUCUCGGCAUCAUCUUGGCAACAAGUUGUCCAGCCAAAGGGCUACAUUGUCGCAUGUGUUGCUUACACUUUAGGGGGCCUAGAUGCAGGUCUGCAGUGAUAAAUAUCAGGGAUCGGGGAAUUAGUCUGAAAGCAUUUUUUAAAGGAUCAGCUCAUUUGCUGGGCUACAACCCAUGGCCUUCAGCAGCAGGUGCCAAAGAUCCAGAGACUUGAAAUUCCUGUGUGAAGGACCAGAGGAUGAGGUAGAUGUUCCUUACCGUGAGGUUUUAGUCCACAAUCUGUGGCAGCAAAAUGCUGCUAAGGCAGCACCUAAAAUGCUUUUCUUCCUCUUUCUGUCCGUUGCUUGAUGUCUACCCUGCUUGCUAAGGACCAUGUCUGAGUUCUUUCCCCAGCACACACCUAAUUGAUUAAUGUUCCACUACCCAGAACAGUGCUGUGGUGUGUCACAGUUACCCAAACCUUCAUGGUAUCUGAAUUUCCUCUCAGCUGUUCCCAAAGGCAAAGCAGGAGAUGAAGUAAGGAAUAAGGAUCCCCAAGUAGCCUCCUGCAGCUGAGCACCAUGGCACAGUAUGGCCCAGGGGCACAACUUACUUCAGAAAAAGAAUCAUGCCUCAGUCCAGACAGGCUCAUUUGUCCCAGCAUCAAGCCAGGAGAAAUCUUCCACUUUGUCCUGGCAUUUCUAGCAAAUGCUCUGGCAGAGGAGGUAGUAGCCUUAGAAAGCAAAAGCAGGAUUCCCCUCUGUGCCUCAUAAGUGCAGUCUUAGAGCCAGAAGCUGCCUGAUUUGCCAUGCUGCUGGUACAGAAGAUAUGGAGGCUCCAGAGCCCUGAAGCCCAGCUUCCCAGGUGUGUGCCAGAGCCUGGAUGUUCUGGGACCUAGACAGUUUGUCUGAGUCAGCCCAAGAGAAAUGCUAUCAUCUUUUCCACUUUGCAGGUCCUGCAUGUGUUAGCAGGAAAAGAAGUUAAUCCUAAAAGGAGCACUAACCCUGACAUUGGGCAGUCUGCUGUUAUUGCACGCAGGGAUUUUCCACGGAGAACCAUGAAAUGAUACUGAAUGGAAGGCACAUGCUCUGCAGAAUGACUCUGGCUGUGGGCUCUUGGUAUCUGGGACUCCAGAAGGCUCCAGGAAAAUACCAGUCUCUUAUGCAGGCUGUUAUGUCUUUGAGUGGGAUCACAAUUACUUUAUACUGGUUGGGCUUGAAGGAAUAGAUGCUGCUGGGCAAAACGUUCUUCGUUAAGAGACUCUGCUCAGGUGCCCUGUGGACCUUCCUGGUAAGAUACAAGCACCUGUCAGAAUCUUCUGGUGAUCAGUACCAUUCCUUUCAGAUGGCUGCUCCUAGUCAGCUUGGGGGCUAGGAAAGGGGACUUACUGCUGUGCAGAAAUCUCCAUGAAAAAAGGUUUGGACAUAGGGGCCACCAAAUUGCUAAGGACUUGUGCCUCUCUGCAGGGUCAGCAGGUGAAUAUGUACAUCAUGUCUCCCAGCCAUAUUCUGGCUACAUGAGUUCAGCAGGUUCAGUGAAUUAACUGGAGACUAGGUACAAUGGUUUUCUUAAUUACCACGAGUCAAUCUAGAAUGCCUUAUCUUGACAGAUCCAAUGUAGGUCCAGUUUCCUGUACAUGGCCUCAGGGGAAGUCUCUGCUUCAUGGAAAUGCAGGUCCCUCCUGAGCAGGCUUCCAUGCCAGAU